rnacentral:rRNA from 1 species
GACGAACGCUGGCGGCGUGCUUAACACAUGCAAGUCGAGCGGUAAGGCCCUUUCGGGGCGACACGAGCGGCGAACGGGUAGGAGUAACACGUGGGUGGACCUCGCCCUCCAGCUCUGGGAGUAAAGACCUCGGGAAACCGGGGUACCGUAAUAACCGGAGUAUGACUCCAUGACGCAUGUUGUGGGGUGGGAAAGACCUUGUGCGGCUGAGGAU